UGACCUCCGCGGGCCCCUCCCCCGACACCGCCCCUUCCCGGGACAGGACCCACUCUGCGUUCAGGGCGACCCCCUGUACCCCAGGAACCCCGCUCCGCCCUCCCUGGCGCUAGAGCGCCUGACCCUGGACUUUUCGGGGCUCCCAUGCCCCCGCCCCUCGCACAGACCUUCUUCGGUGGCUCCCCGCCCCUGUCCCGCCGCUCAGCCGUGGCUACUUGGGGAGUUGGGGGGGACGAGGUAUAAAGCGCCGGAGGCGGUGCGGGUGGAGACCUAGACGUGGCGCGUCCAGUCUGCCGGCCUAGGCUCCAGGUUAGCUAUGCUCCUAAUGUAAAAGAAUGAGGAAACCAAGCAAACACUUGGUGAAAGUGAUGAAUUCUGGGGCGCUGAUUCAUCCAUGUCUGCUAAACUGCCACCUCAGAGGGAGCAGCAGGGAGGGAGCCGAAGAGAAUGUCACCUGGAGGAGAUGAAGAUGCUGCUGGGUCAGGAGUGACGUUGAGGGGAACCUUGAUGUCUGGGACCUUUACGAUGUGUGAGAUUGCACUCAUAUCCGGGAAAACCUCAGUCCACAAAUCGCGGCAUCUGGACGCGUGCAUCUUAACUGGGUUUCCUACAAAGGAGCCAGGGGGCACAUUAAGUCCUCAUCCACCAGUGUUCCUCUUUUACUCCUUUUCCUUUUAGAUUGUGGCAUUUAAGAAUUGAAAGAACUGCUAGGUCUUCUGAUCAGCCCCAUUAGUUUUUUUCUUAAAAUGGCUAAACAUUGGUAAAGCGAUAGGCCGUUUCAUGCCUCACUAAGAUUACCUAGUGCUGCUUUUUGUUCAUAUGCUUUAAAUAUUUGAAAGACCCAUGAUUUGGCUACAGAUAAUGCAGUGAUGCUCCCCAAAGUUUUGACAGAAGCUGAAUCACCAAGUGAGGAGAGUUCAGGGAGCCAUCAGCCCCUCAUCAAAACCUUGAGCUUCACCAGAAACUCUUUAGGGUCCUUUUACCCUUAGAAAUGCUCAUUCCCAUGGCAGAGGUAAGCAGACCGGUUUUGCUCAGAAAGAACAGCCCAGAAACGAAGACAGAAUAGAAAGCAAGUAGUUAUGGCACAUCUGAAAACAAGCAUCAAUGGGGACGGGACAAAGUACAGCAUCCUAAACCUUAAACAGAAGGAUCAGGUUAGCCACAAAGGCACCCGCUCGCCAGCCCUCUGCCAGCCUGUGCACUGGGCACUCCUUCACGUUCCCGCCUCUGAGGUCUGAGCUCCACCCACGUCCGUCCUGCACCUGCGCCA